GUGAAUCGGGCUGACUCGCUCGCGUUUGUACUCCGCGAAUGUAGGUGGAGCUCGUUACAAUUUUAUUUCAUUUAUUUAACGCUCUCGUUCCACUUUUCCAAGCGACAGUUUCUUUUUUAAAUAUUUACGUUAAUAUUUUCUUUAUUAGUGUUUUCCUAGUGCUAUAUUGUGAUUGUGAAACAAAGCGUUGCGUGAUAGUUCAGUGUUAUGAUGUCAUGAUUAUUCUAUUCGAAUCCUUGGUGAAACAUGAGUGUCAGUGUCGAGGCGGACGUUCCGAGCCCUGUGUCCGAUGGGCAGAGUACGACCUUGGAUCCGACGUUGUCGAAAUCAUCGUCGGAAAGCCAAAGUUUGAAAGAGGAGAUUGAGGUAGGUCAGGAUGAGAAAUCUGAAUCUAGCACGCCCAAAAUUCACCCGAUGGCCUUCACGAUCGACUUUGGAGAGAGCAAACCUGUCGACAAUCGCAGACUUGAGCAGUUGGCUAAGAAGUCUCAGGCGCGUCAUCAGAGAGUUCAGUCCAUGUCCGCAAGUUUAACUAGGCAGAGCCCCACAGCCCAGCGUCCACCUAUGAGCGCUAAACUCCCUCGAAAGACCCAGGGCUACAAUUCGGAAGGCUACUUCUCAUCAGAUCAGGAGGAUAGUGGUCUAUCAGGUUCUAUCAAAAUUCGUAACUCCUUAGCUCAAAACCCAGCACAUACUAAUAGUCCUAUAACAAACAGGCACAUAAAAUCUCCUGUCAAUGAUGCACGCACAAAACAUGCCUCAAAGAGUCCUAUAGUUGACAGUAUAAUGUCAAGAAGUGACAAUUAUUCAUACUUGUCUCGGCAAGCUCUUAAUCUUCCUCUAAAGAGCAACACAUAUUCAAAGGAAAUGCAUCGUACACCAAGUUACAAUAACCUUUAUCAAACAAGACCAGUGACUCAUAUAGUAGAUGAAAGUCCUGAAGCAGUCCUUCUCACAGACAUAUCUAGCCCGGAACUUGACAUAUUGACCCCUGAUAAUGGGGUGCCCACUCCUGAGCACUAUAAAAGUCCAUCAACAAGAAAAGGUCGUGCCACAUCAGAGACACCUGACCUAUUCAAGAAGUGCAUGAUAAAAGAAACAUUGUAUAUUGAUGAUGAAGUUGAUAGGGAAUCCAAUAACUCCUCGACCGGUACAUACACCAUUGAAGGAGAUAAUUAUACGGAAGAGCAGAAGGCCAGAAUGAGCAUUGACAGAAAUUUUGAUACAAAAUUGAUCAAGGAUGAAGAAAUAUUUAAACAACGUAGUAGAGACCCUGAAUUGAUUUUAGACUUCACACAGAGAGUGAUCACAAAAGAGCCAAGAAGAGAUACAUAUCUCAGGAGUCCAGUGGAAGCAAAUAAAGGUUUUAAUGUCCCCAAAGUAUCUAAAGACAAAAAUGUUCUAGAGAUCUCUUGCUGUUAUGAAUCGCCCACUGAGAAUGAUCUUGCAACACAAACAUCUAAGCAAAUUAAAUCAACUAGAAGCUACUUAGAGAAAAUAAAGAAUAGAGUGAGAACUAUAACUGAGAAAACUUUUGCAAAAUCACCACCGAUCCACGGUGAAGAACCAGAUUUUGGGAGCUUCACCUCUGUUACAACUUCAGGGGUGUUAAGUUCGAAAAACCCUUCGAAAUUGGUCACGUCAUCAGGGAGGCGAUGUAGCUUAACUAAAUCAGAAAUAGACCAAACUGACUAUAUACACAGAUUGUCAAGAGAGUCAUCAGUACCUGUUUCUCUACCGAGCUCUAAACUGAAGUUGGAAAAUGCAGAAUUUGAAAGCACAGCACUGAGAAAUGCUCAGAAGGCCAUGAGGGAUGAUAGCGGAGUGUCUUCUGAUAUAACACCAGAUCAGGCUGUCGGUCAACUGUCUUAUAUAUCAAUGAACCGGUGCAAGGGUGACAAGACCUGGAUUCACGACUGGGCGGAGAGUGUCAAGAAGUAUAACAAUAACAUGGCCACUGGAUCUUAUGCUAACACUGAUUGUGAUCGUCCUCCUCUCAGCCCUCGACAUAUCAGUAAACCUCGGAGUCCGCACGGCGACACACCGACCAAGAUCCCGAGCCCCGUCGGCACAUUACUACACAGAAGGACACCGGAUCUCAUACCCACCCAAGAAACGGAGUCUUAUUUGCUCAAAACGCAAAACGCAAUAUCGAAUCUUCAAGCUAAACUACAGUCAUCUAGGACGAGCAACUUUUCCAGUAUACCGUCGCAACUCACCACCAGUAUGAUCAGCGAGAAGACAGCCAUAUCCCGACUUCCGAUCUCGCAGCUUAGCCGCUCCAACUCGCUCAACUACCGUCUCCGGAAGAAGGAUAACUCAGGAGACAGCAGUCCCCUCCGAAGCCCCGGACAUUACGUGAUCACUGGGUCAACGAAAAUCCCCGAAACCACGCAAAUUCUUCUCAAUAACGCUUCCCGGUCACUGGAGACGGAUCGAAAGAAAUACGACAGCAACAUGAAUAGUCCGUCUUCUGAUAGGGGCGGUCUUCUAAGCACCAGUUCCGAUGACAAGACGCUGUCAAAUCGCUACGACGUUGAGGCUAUACUCUCGCCGCACAGAAAACACGCAAGGCACAAAUCCGCGGAUGUAAGGCACAGCGAGAGGAACUUGGACAACGCCAGUCAAAUGAGACUGAAGAAUACAUUAAGGAACAACGUACCGGAAGAAAACUCUCAGAGGAUCGAUCAAAUACGUUGUCAGGGAAACGCCAAAGUUAGGCCCGACAUAACGUCUACGAUCCGACGUUCGAGCUCUUUUAACACUGUCAAUAAGAAUAACAAUUAUAUCGAAACGAGACAUAAUUAUAGAAGACCCAGCGGUCAGUCUGAGGAGUGCAAUUGCUCCGAUGAUUCAGACAAUGUUUCUCUCGGUAAAUGCAAAGAUUACAAAUACAAAAUGCUCCGAGGCAGGUUAGACUCGGCCGAGUUGAAGUCAGCAGUGCCAGCCAAUUCGCCAAAAUGUCCUAAUACGCCAGAAAUGCAGCGGAAAUUCGGACAUGGCCUGGUGAGGAAUUCGGUUAGAGUCACGACUAAAGAGAGGGGGAGCGUCCCAAGGUCCGAACCUUUGAGGGAUGAGAGAAACAAACCAAUCGGACACCAGAGCAGGAGGAUAUCGGAGCCGACGCGGCAGGCCAUGAUCAGUCGGCUGACAAAGUCCAGAUCUUCAACGAGAGAGGUGCAAUUGAAGACCCAGGAAAAAGGUCAAAAGAAACCAAGCCAGCACAGGUCUUCAUCAGCGUUAGCCACAAAGGAGGUGGAAUUCUCCAACUGGAAGAAGCGCUCUUCCUAUGACCCGAUGAAGGCGGCCCAGGAAGGCAGGAGACGGCAACAGAUGUCGAAACGGCAGGAAAAUAAGGACGAUCUCAGUUCCCCUAGUCACUCGUCUCCGGUGCAUCGAUCGCAGUCGUUCCACACGACCAAUAUAGCGGAUCUGACCCUGGACUACACCUCCGAGGAGUCCGAAGACGACCUCCACGCGUUACCCGUCGACCCGAUGAUCACCUCCACGCACUCCGACAUCGUCGAGCUGAGGUCCAGGGACUGCCACAGUCUGAGGAGACAGGCCCUGAACAGCGACGUGAAGCUGGGCAGGAGUUAUGUGGCUAAUUUUCAGGUGAACCAACAGGCGGACAAGAAAAGGCGGGAACAGGACAAAAGAAAGACGUUCAUAUUGGAUGACGUCACGCCCACCAAAGAGAAUAUAGACUUCAUUACAAAGACAAGAGACGAUGUCGCCAUAGACAAGAGGAGAACUUUUGUUCUAGACAGCGACACAAACUCCACCACAAACGGCAGCAGUCCAAGGAACUCUUCUAUAUUUAGUCAUGAAAAACACUCCUUGACGACUGGUACUAGCGACACGGAGGGCGAGAGUGGAACAGAGAGUGCUCCUGUGGUGUUGAGGCACCCGGGCGCAAAGAGAGGCACCGUCCCUCCCAAACAGAGGUACAGCGGUGAUUUCUCGAUGACCUCGUCCACCACGUCGAUAUCGCAGAAGAAGCCCAAAGACAUCCAGCCCCGUUACAUGGAUAUCUCGAAGUACAAAAAUGACACCUCCCCGAAGAACUUCCUGAGGAGGGAUCCCAGCAAGACCUACGUUGGUGUUCUAGGCGAAAAUAAAAUCAGCCGAGGAAGCGCGCAGCAUUAUGAAAUGGAACAAAAGAAACAAGAGUUAGAGAAGUGGAAACGACGAGCUUCUUACGAUCCGAGGAAGGCGGCCGCGCUCGGGAAGACCAGCAAGCCGGCUCCGAAGACCGCCAGAGCGUGACAGAUGUCAAAUUGCAUGCAAAGCGUAAUUGACAUUCGAGGCGCCAUCUUGUGUAAGUAGCGUUCUCCGUUCGCAGUCGUUUCACGGACCGGUGCUGGCGUCGUCGACUACCCGCUACUGUCCGCCUACAGAUAUCACCGAAUUAUACGACGCAUCGAGCGACAAC
rnacentral:misc_RNA from 1 species